rnacentral:lncRNA from 1 species
AUCUAUGAUAAUUGUUACCUAACGAUUUACAAAAAUUUUGAAAAAUUAAUUUUUUUUAAUCAAAGCAAAAUGAAGUAGGCAGCUCUUGGAAGGUGUAUCCUCUACAAAAAAAGGAACUAAUUCUCAUCGCAAUCAAGUACUUAAUUAAAUCCUCAGGAAAUAGGAAAAAGAUUGCUCAAUAAGUAACUUUUCAACACAGGCACCUAAAUCCUUCAUAACUCAAAAUUGAUUUAUAAAUACUAAAACAGAAGAGUGUUGUACGAUCUUUUUGGGACAAGAAAUGGUAAACCAAAUGGAGAUUGUGUCGGUUUGGAGUUUAUUUUUUUAUCAGUAUCAUUCAAAAAGCGUAGUUUUGGGGAAAAAGCUACAUACCUAAAGUCCUCCCCUACUCAGUUUUGAGUAGGAAGUUGCUGGAUAAUAGUGCCGCUUCAUUCCUUCCAACGGCACAAAAGUGAACUGAACAGCUCACAACUUUAUAUAUAGGUAGGACAAUCAAGAGAGAUUUCCAUCAAAAUCCAGUCUUUCAACAAAAAUGGCUCCACUGAAAGUUGCACCUUCAUGGUCAAAGAUCCCUUAGUCGGUGGAUAUUGCAUACUUGGAAGGAAACAAAUCUGUACUCAUAAAGCAAAGCGAAAAUAUAGAAAAAAAAACUUCAUCUGCUUCCAUCGCGAGCCUCCAGUUUAAUGAGAUGAAAUGAAAACGAAAGAAAUAAAAUAAAGAGAUUGUUGUGUGAGAUUUAUCUAUCUUAUUUCCAUUAAUUUGAUUUUUUCAUUAUCCUUCUAUUUUCAGGAAUGGAUAAACUAUUAGAAAAAGUGAAUGAAAACAUAGCCAAAUCUCAAAUCAUCGUCCAAUCUCUGGAGCCUAUAUCAAGAGCUGGGAGUCGAACUUCUCAGAUAUCAAAGGCUGAUUCUGUGCACUCUGUUGGACCUACGUCGACUUUUACGCUGCCUGCGUCCGAAUCUCUCAAAAUACCACACAUAAGCUAUGAGUUUCGGCACGAUAUCGUCAGUCGAGAAAUGAACAGCAUGAAAUCAAAACUGAACAACUUGAUUGUCAAAAUGAGAAGGCAAAAAUCUAAUAUCACUGCCUGUUUGGAGGAAGUUGCUAUCCGAAUCAAAGACUUGACGGAAUAUACAAAAAAUUGAUGCUGCUGUCGAAGUCUGAUUCUAAAUCCAAAAUUAAUGUCGGCGUCUAUGUAGGGUAAGUUUAGCUUGAAACUGGAUCAAUUCGUAGAUUGCAAACAGUAAUUUUACAUCUGUUAUACAUAUAUGAUUGAAACGUAGUUAAUGAUGGUGCAAUGAUUUUCAUUAACUAAGUUUCAACAUUUAUAUGUCUUCUCAUGAAUGGUAUGCUCUGAAAAAUUGAUCGUCAAAGGAUAUUGCAAGGCAAUGGCUUCAGAGCCAGGACUUCAAACUGGAUCAUUGUAGGGAUGUCGGUACUCGGGGAGGUAUCGACACUAAGCAUCAAAACCGAUAUUGAGCAUCGAGCUGAAGUAAUGAUACUUCUGAGGUAUAGAUACCAUCAGUACUUACUAUUUCUAAAUUAUGCCGUUAAAGAACAUCGGCGCUGUCCGUAUAAUCAAUUUGAGUCCCAAAUUGGCUUGGGGUUCAAUACUCUAAGUGUCACUGUGAAAAGUGAAUUUUCGAUAAGAAGUUGCAAUUUACAAUUAUGAAUGGUACAUGACUUAAGACUUCUUUAUCUUAUGUUUUUCAGUUUUAUGAGAGGUGUGUUGAAGCAAAUAAUCCAGAACAUUAACCAAGCAAAAACAAACAAAACUAUUUUAAGUAUCGAGAAAAAGAAAGUACUGCUGAGAAUGGAAGAUAAGGAAGAGCUAAGUUCAACUAUUUAUGCUAUCGACUUUGACGUUUUGGAGAUACAGAAUCAAGAAUUGCGCAAACUGCUACACCAGAAGUGCCAUUGUUUAGCUUUGACAAAACGUUUUAUAGGUUUGCAUUUGUAAUCUAUUUUUUAAUUUUUUUCUGCAAAGCAACAAUGCAUUUUCCACCCUACUCUGUAGCAAGCACUCAUAUAUGGCGAAAGAUAGAAAGCACGUAUCUUCAUUGCGAUGUUUCAGAAUGUCUCCUCUGUUUUUAUUUUUUUUCGAAAAGAAAUAGGCCAACUGUAUAGCUUGAAAAUACAGAGUAUUCUGCUAAGAAGGGAGAAAAGUGAAAAAAGUUUUCAAUAAAUUACGUUGACUCGUUUUCCAAAGAAAAAUGAAGUAUGACAGGAAGUCUGCAACCUUGCAAUCUAUAAUACGUGGUUUCAAGCUCUGGUCAUCAAUGUGAAAACAGCUAUAGUAGAGUCGUAAUUGCCAAGUGCAAAAUUUUCGAGGAAUAGAAGAAAUGGAAUUUUAAUAAAAAAUGUUGAACUUCUCUUCUGCAAAGAGUAAUUUUAGUACACUAAAAACUCUCUUGAACAACUUUCGGCUCACUGUUUGCCAUAUUGAAUGCAGAAUAAGCUUUCCAACAUGCUGUACUUUUCAAAAUUCAACCUGUGCUUUUCUCAAAAUCAAGUAACUUCUCUGUAACUAUUUAGUAAGCUCUAGACAGUAAAUUUAUAAAAUUUUAGGUGUUUUUUUUUUUCUAUUAUCUAUGAGGAACAUCUUAACUAGACAGUUUUACUAUUACGUCAACUUGUAGUUCUAGAAAGUUGAAAGGCCUUUUUUUCUUGCCCAUAAUACAUAAUCUUUAGUUAUAGAGUCAAAAGUUGAUCAACAAAAGUAUGAAUUUGGAAGUGAUAUUUGCUGAUUAUAAAGUCUUCUGUCUUGAGUAAGUUUCCUGUUUGUAAAACAUUGUAGAAACCAAGAAUGUCCACAAAAAGGAUUAGCUUUCAUAGUUUGGAUGUCCGUUACUCUAGUAAAGUCCAAAAUAACUGAAAUGGUGGCCUUGUAUUUUCCAUCCAUAAGAUGACAAGAAUGAUAUGAAAUUACAAGAACACUACUCAGUAUGUUUUUCAUAGAUUUGUUCAUUUGUAUGUUUUACCUUGCUCUCUGAUAUUUUCUAGGCAGCGCUGAAAAAUCCUUGACAGCUUCAGUCAAUUUAGUUGAUUCUUUAAAUCAAGAGCUGAACAGUAUCAGGAAACACAUCAAACUUAAUCGAAAGAAACUUAUGAACCUUCGUAGGAAAGGAAAAAAGUACGUACAAUUUUUUUUCCAUGUUGUUGAAAAUAUUAAAGGCAAUGUUUGCUCAUUUCAGCUAGUGUUCAGCUGAGCUCUCUCAAUAGAAAUGAAAGAAAAUACAUAAUAACUUAAACAGUUGGGUGCUAAUUUAGCUAUUAUUUAUCGCAAUGAGGACAAAUUUAGAUACAUAAUUUUAUUUUGAAUAUACUUCAGGAAGAAUUUAAGAUUCCGAUUGUGUAUAAGUAAUUCAUGUAUUAUGGUUGUGGUGCAGAUGACUGUUUCCUGAAAAACCUCUUAAGCUAGGACUCUGCCAGGAAUACCAACAGAAGUACUGGCUAAAAUUUGUUUUUAUUUAUAUGAUGCUCUUUGCAACUUCCUGAGCAUGAUGAGUUUUUAAGAUCAAACUAUUUAUGUGCCAAUUUUGAUCCGAAAAAGCAUACUCGUGGAGUUGAAAAGUGAAUUUUUUGGCACUCUUACAUGCGUUUUUCUUUGAAGAUGCAGCAUGUGUGAGUGGAUGCUGUGCUGUAAUAUGUUAUCAUCCAGAGGAUUUGGAUUCUUUUGGUCUCUUUUAUCCUCUUGGCCGGCAAAGAAACAGAAGCUCCUUUAGAUUACCAAUCAGAUGUUGUAACAUUUUUGCCAGAUAGUGCAUGUGAAAAUGCUGAAAUAUUCACUUUUCAGCACUGCUUUUCUCAAAAUUUUCACAUAGCAAGUUUGAUUUUAAAAACUCAUCAUGCUCAAAAGAUCAUGAAGGACAUCAUUUUAAAUAAUAACCAAAUUGAAUCUGUGCUAAAUUCUUUGGUUUUCCGUACCAGGUUCUUCUAUGUUGAUUAUAUACUUUGAGCACGGCAAGGCUGAAAGUUUCCCUUUAAAGGCUUGUAUCAUACGAAUUCAAAAAGAAACGAAAUGUUGUCGGACUGAACAUUUUCUUAAUGUAGAGACACUUUUAUGAUCCAACCCUAAUUAAACUGGAAUCGUAAGGCAAAAGUACUAACCACCCACUAGAAUAUAAUUAUGAUUUUUACUCAACUUUUAGAGCAAGGAAGCUGAAUGUUGCAUGCAGCAGAGGUACUCAGACUUCUUUUUUUUUAAAUAUUUUCAAGUUAUUUUUUUUUACUGUUGCAGCUCGAGUCGGAAAUCAAACAGAAAAGAAAGGAAGCUCUAAUCUCGGAAAACCAUGUCAUCAAAAGCUCUGGCAAAAGUAUAGAGGUAAUCCUACAUAAAUCAUUCAUUUUUAAAGGAAUCCCUUGUCAAUUUUUUUCAAAACCAAAUGCUCUAUGAACCAUAGGUAUUCCAUUUCAUCAAGUUUUUUGACCUCCAAUGAGAGAAAGUAAAACAAAAAAGCAUUAAAAUGCAUUGCAACUGCAUAGCAACUUUUUUUCUUUUUUUUAAAUAUCAGAAUGAGCUUUAAUGGAUAUCUUUCUACACAUGUCACAUGUAAGACUCUGAAACAACUUCAAGGCUGAUAAAUCGUGUCUACAUGUUAGUAUAGAGCAUAUCGAUAGCGAAACUUAAAAAAUGCGCAUCCUGGCUUACAGCAUUACAGACUUCCUGUUUCACUUUAUUCUCUACAUACAAAACUACUAUAGUCCGCGCCACGAAAAGUGGCGGGUGAGGGCGGAGCCAGUCGGCUGGUCCAGUCUAUCGUUGAAGGAUUGAAGCGCAGGUAUUGGCCGGUAGUUGAGACGGGAUAAGGACUGGCCCAAUACCUACGCUUCAACCCUUCAACGAUAGUCUGGACCGGUUGACUGGCUCCUCCCCUCACCUGCCACUUUUGCGGCGCGGACUACAAAUGUCGUUUCUUUAAAACUUCAGUGAUUUUUCUUCUGUAAGCAAAGUAUUUAAAUCAAAAUUUCAAGCAUGAUGUUGGUUCGGUCUCCUUUUAAAAAAUGAAACGGGAGGGGAGAUUUUGAAGAAUUACUGUAAAUCGCAUUUUUGCGCAGUUUACUGUCGAUAUACUGUCAUAAUUCGAUCAAUAUACCAUUGAAAAUUUUUUCUCAUUCUCAGUUACUUAUUAGUCACACAAAUGAAUAUUGAUCAAACUCACGAUAGCUACUUAUGAUCCGCUCUUAUGUUUUUAUUUGCUCAUUUUCACUCAAUUUGAUUUUUAUUUGCUGAAUUUCAAGGAAAAUUUGAAGUUGAAAGGACUACUGUUUGUGUAGAAUAAAAUCUUAGUUUUGUGUAAAAGUAAAAUUUUAGUUUUCACUUCAACUAAUUUUUAUCUUUGUUUGUUUCCUCUCCUAAGGCUUUAGAUGUGGUGUCAUAUGCAUUAACUAAACUUUGCGUCAAUGAUCUGGAGCGUAAACUGAAAAUCAGUUCAAGGAAGCACAAUCUCAAAUUGGGAUUGCUCAGUUGUGUGAGGCAUCAUUUCAAAGUUCUAACCAACAAAUCAAACAUGACCUAUAGAAAUUCCCGGGUUUUGUAAUUAUCAACAAAAAAAAAUGUUCUUUAAGUGUACAAGUAUCCUCUACUUAUCUUGUAUGAUUUCAAUUAAAUUGAAUGAAAUUGAAUUUGAUCAUCUUGCCUUAUUUUUUGUUCCCUUAUUAGAACGCAGUAAUGAGAGUUGAUUUAGGUUGACAAUGUGAAAUUAAUCAAUUUAUUUUCAAGCCUCUGUCAAACGAGCAGGUCGACUGUAGAAUCAAUGACAUUUGCCAGCAAAAUUGACAUUCUGUGGGCAUAUUUGCAACCCUGCCGGACUGUACAGUUGGGACUGCUUGUGUGAGAGGAGCUUAAACCUUCAUCAUUUUAGUUUCAGAAUUGUUUCAGGGAUUACCUCUAAACGUUUUCAGUACCUUGGUACUCAAUGUUGAAUUCUGUAAUGUAAUUCUGGUAGUGUGCCUAAUGUACAAUCAAGAUUUUGCAAUUGAUUUAAUAGCCCCAAUACUUAAGAUCUAAUUUUAAUUUUUAUAAAUGAAUGGCA